rnacentral:rRNA from 1 species
UACAGAGGUCUCAAGCGUUGUUCGGAUUCAUUGGGCGUAAAGGGUGCGUAGGCGGCGCGGUAAGUCGGGUGUGAAAUCUCGGAGCUUAACUCCGAAACUGCAUUCGAUACUGCCGUGCUUGAGGACUGGAGAGGAGACUGGAAUUUACGGUGUAGCAGUGAAAUGCGUAGAGAUCGUAAGGAAGACCAGUGGCGAAGGCGAGUUUCUGGACGGUAACUGACGCUGAGGCACGAAGGCCAGGGGAGCAAACGGG